rnacentral:lncRNA from 1 species
UUCGCCUUUCUUAUACUUCGACUUCUUUCUUAUUCCACCGCCAAAAAAGGACAAAAAUAAGAAAUCCUUCACAUUUCCAUUCCCAUUUUACUCACUAUUCAAAGAGUGUUAAAAUUUAGAAUGUUAAUCGUUCCAAUUUAUCCAGACGGGAUUAUUUUUCUUCUGGUUUCAUUUAAAAUAGAUAUUCGAUAUUAUCAUGGAAAAAUGCAAUCAUAAAAAAGAAUGCAUAAAUUCAACUUACAAUUGUAUUGCAGUUAAAUCCAAAACAAAGUGAAGCACGCAAUGAAUUACUUUGUAAUGAGUUUGUACAUCUCAAAUAAGUAAAAUGGCGAAUAAUUAUAGUAAUUUAAAGAAGAAAAAAAUUACCCGGCGUUCUGUAAUAACCGAAAAUUGAUUAAUGGAAGAGACACUGCUUAAGAAGAUAGAAGUUAGGGACUUGUUAGGGUUUAAGAGGACGGUGCAUUGGGAGCUGGGUAAGAAGGUUCUAGAAUUCCUUCAUUUUUCACAUUUCUAAAAAUAGAAGAGGGAAUAUUCGAUAUGCUUGCAGCCUAUCGUAGUGGAGGGUUCAUUUCCACAGCGUUCUCACCU